UGUAAGUUGUAAUCCCAGCACAUAGGAGGGGAGCAGCUCCAUCAAGAGGUAGGCUGUCCGGAACACGAACGAUGAAGUGUUCAUCGGCCACCAUGAUGUCGGAGUAACCGCCAUAUGUGGUGGUUCCGUCAAGGUACUUGGAACCAUAGGUGAGUAUCAUUUUGGGGCAGUAAUUCUCAAGGUUGUUGGCACAACUGUCACAAGAAUGGCAAGACCCAACCAUGCAUCCAACACCUACCUUGUCUCCAACUUUGAAUUUUUCUACUUUGCUUCCUACCUCUGUCACUACGCCAACAAUUUCAUGCCUGCAUUGCCCCAAAUAAGUUCACUUAUAGGAAUGCGUUCAUUGAAAAGCUUGAGCUAAUUAACUUACGUUCACAUCACCCAUCAGUAAAUGCUCUGGUCUGACUGUAAACUUGUGAUAAUUCUAGCAAGUAUUUUUCUUAAUUUUCUUAUGGCAUGCCCUGCCUUUCAUUGCCACCAAUCAAAUAAAAGUUUUACAGAAAAAUUAAUUUGAAAACUUUAUACUAAACUAAAGUCAUAAAAAACAUAUAUUGAGAAAAAGACCCAUGCAUUUAGGACAAAUGCAACAGACAUCGUACUUAUGCGUUUCGGUUUAUUUUUUAAGGAGCUAAAUUUUGCUCUUUUUAAAUUAAAAAAUUGUUAUUAACACUUGAAUUAAAAAUCAUGGCGUAUUUCUCACUAGAAUUGAUUCGAUGCAAAUUUCAAUAGUUCCUCUACCAAUAUAUCAAAAAAGAAAAUCAACGACUAACUAAACUAAAGUCAUGUUUGAUAAAUGACAACGUACCCGGGGACCAGAGGAUAGGUAGAAGAACCCCAUUCAUUCUUCACCAUGUGAAGAUCCGAAUGGCAUAUCCCACAGUACAACACUUUGAAUGACACAUCUUUCUCUCCAGUUUCUCUGCAACCAAAUAAAUUCAAUUUUAGACACAAACCAAGAACUCAGAUCUUGACAUUAAAGCAUGCAUAAAUCCUAAACUUCUUUUGUACUGACUGAAUAUGUGUCGGCUUUUCACUGUCAAUAUAACAUGUUACAUGGUGUUACAACUGCAAAAUCAUUUUUACUGAUUAAGAAAAAAAAAAUUUAAUCAAACGGAUACUGAUUCAAAUUUAAAUCCCAGUUUGUUCAUUUUUUUAUCUUCCCCAUUUCAUUGAAUCAUUGUGCUUUUUAAGAACCACAUUUAGACAAAUCUAGGAAUGCAAUAAAAAUGGUAAAAAAACCAAACAAAAAAUGAAUGGGAAAUUAAGUUAUAUAGAAUAAUAACCUUCUUGAGAAUUUAAAGGGAGAAAGAACACCAGAUGAAUCUCUAGCAGCCCAUCCAAAAGCCUUUUUGGGGUGUUCUUGCUCUGUAGAAACCACCAUUUUCGCUCUCAAGAUAUAACUGGCACAAAGCAACUAUGAGAAUUUAAUUAAUAGAGUGAGAGAGAAGGCAAGGGAGGAGCUGUUUAUAUAUAGAUGUGGACGACAUGGGGUGGGGACACUGGGGUAUUGCUGUUGCGCUGGGCUGACGUAUUGGGUGAGCAAAUGGAAAUCAAACAAGGUUCUUUUCCACAGAAAAGUAAUGACAUUCUCAUUGGGUAAGAGAUUGCGCUGGGCUGACGUAUUGGGUGCAACAACUCUAUUUUAGGCAUGUUGAAGACUUUUAGUUUAUCAUUUUAAUUAAGAAUGAGUCAAGUGUAUUAAAAAUAGAAGUACUUGAGAAGAAAGACUUGAAUACUACUUUUUGGAAAAAAAACAAUUCAUGUUGUUAUGGUCGCUCCAGAUUUUUUUUGUUUUUGUUUUUUGGUUGGGUGAAAAGACGAGGUCACUUCAUGUUUUUGUUUAUCAUUUUAAUCAAGAAUGAGUCAAGAAAAAGCAAUAAUUGGUUGUUGACAACAAUUAGGUAUGUCUUCCACAACAUGGUGGCUCCAUUUGUUUUUGUGUUGGUUUAUGCAAUCUCCAAUUCAAUACUGAAAGUUAAUUUUCAAACAUAAUUUGAGGAUGAUGGGCCUAAAAAGUUAAUUAUAAUUUUUUCCCGAAAAUACAUAAAUGAAAGGCAAACUUAGUUUUAAACUUAUUUUGCUUGUCAUAUAGAAAGUUAAUGAACAUUAUUUUAAGUGAUUUGAUGAAAUUAUGUAUUAUAUAUAUAUAUAUUAUAGAAUAAAAUAAAAAAAUUCUUAACCAUUUCAUUUAUAUUUUACAUUUACAUCUAUUGAAAUGUUUGAUUAGAUUAAACAUGACGAUAUAUGUUUCAUAUUUCAUUAUUAUCUUUUUAUUUUUAUGAAAAUCGAUCAUUCAAUCCAAUAUCAAUUGGAUUUAAACCUCUGUGAGAGGUUAACACUUUGAUUUUUCGUCCAUUCAAGUUGAUGUCACUCACAAAAAAAGCAAGAAAAACCUAAGAGAGAAAACUCCUAGCCGCCACCCCUUUUAGGGUGGUGACUACCAUGUUUUUUUUGUCCUAUCUUCAUCUCUUUUUCCUCUCCUCUCUGAAGGAAGUUGAGGUUCCACCCCAAAAUCAAUUGGCAAUGGGGGGAGUAGCUCAACUCCUUAUAAGCCCUUACUAGGUUUCUCAAAUUUCCAAUGUAAGACUUUUUACCUUCACAUUUUCACACUCCCCAACUCAUCCCCUUCAUAUCCUCUUUGCUUACUGCUACAAAAAAGCAAAAAGACGACGGUAAAUCACCGUCGUGUAUUCGAUUUUUCAAUGGUCGUGGAAUCCACCGUCAUCUUUUCCCUCAUAUACCACGACGCUAAAUAACCGUCGUUGUUAAAAUAUACAACGUCAUCAACAAAUACAAAACGACGUCUUUGUACUGCAAAAAGAUCUAAAAAAGCAGUCGAGGAUGAGAAUAGACGACCAACUCUCUAACAAAACCGUCGUUAAAAAGGAAAAAUAUGACACAUAUUAAGAGAACAAGGCCGCAAGAUAGACAUACAACGACGGAAAUAAAAAAACGACGCCGUUAAAUAUCAUUUUCACGACAAUAAAAAAUUUGACGUCUUUAAAUACAUUAGAAGACGACGUUAUUGAUACCUACUACGUCGUAUAUAUAAAAACAGCCGUCGUAAAAUUAAUUUUCCACUUCGAUUUUUCGAUAAAAGAUGACGUGGAAAUAGUUGUCAGUGUCAUUAUUUACGACGUAUGUAUUUAUUGAGUAGACGUUGAAAAACGAAACAACGUCGGUUACAAAUAUAUGAGAGUCGUAUUACAAAAUUUAUACGUCAUAUUUUCAGAAACAAACAUCGACGAUAAAUAUUAGACGUUGUUAAAUAAAACAACGUCGGAAAACAAUACAAACAGACGUGUUUAGUCUGCUAAAGUUCUAGAAAAUAGUCGAGGAUGAGAAUAGACGACCAACUCAAACAAAUCACCGUCGUUAAAAAGGAAAAAUAUGACACAUGUUAAAAGAAAAAGGCCGCAAGAUAUACAUACAACGACGACAACUAAAAUUUUACGCUGUUAAAUGUAAUUUACACGACAAGAAAAAAUAUGACGUCUUUAAAUACAUGAGAAGACGACGUUAUUGAAAUAUACUACGUCUCUUAUUUACAAACAACCUUCGUGAAAUAAAUUUUCCACUUCGAUUUUUCUAAAAAAGAUGACGUGGAAAUAGUUGUCAGUGUCAUUAUUUACGACGUAUGUAUUUAUACAGUUGACGUUGAAAUGCGAAACAACGUCGGUGGCAUUUAUAUAGUCGACGUUGUAUUUAUAUCUAUCAUCAUUACUCACGACGCACUUAAUAAUAUAGACGACGUUGAACUUCUAAACAACGUCGGGUCCAAAUAAAUGAGAGCUGUAUUACAGAACAUAUAGACGGCGUUGAUUAUGAUGAGAGCCGUAUUACAAAUAACGUCGUUUAAUUGUUAUUAGACGGCGGUUAUAAUGAAUUUCCGUCGGAAUUCAUUUCGUUCCUCUUCGUUUAUAAAAGAACUUGCGACGUGGAAAAUGUAUGAUGACGUCGUAUUUUUUAACGUUCAGAUUAUAUAUCUCGUUUUUUAGACGUCGGUAUUAUGGGAUUGAAGUCGUGUUAUUUUGAAUUACAUGACGGUUCUUAAUCCUUCCCCGACGUGAUAUCCUGAAUAAUUGCUUCACAAUUGCGUCGUGGUUCUUCAUUGUUACGUUGCUUUAAGACGUCGGUAAAUAUGCUGAAUAACUGGUUCACAAUAACGUCGUGUUUUAUUUGAACGUAGAAAGUGAAGAAAUCACAUUACAAUAUAUUACAAAAUUAAUGUCAUACACUGCCAAUUACAUAAGCAUCAUUCAAUCCAUAUAUCUUCACACCCAUCUCGAAUAUUUUGACCGCCUAACUCACCCACCAGUUCAUCAAAUGUGUCAACAUUUGGCAUCCCUCUAGUAAAUGGCUCACACUCAAUUAUCACAUCACCUAAGACUUCAUCACCAAUAACAUCAUUAUAUUCUCUAUUAGGCAUUGAUAACACUACCGACCAACCACGAUGCAUCGGGUCGUCAACAAAAAAUAUUUGUUUGACUUGAGAAGCCAAAACAAAUUGGUCAUUCCUAUGUCCAAUUUUACUCAAAUCUACAAGGGUAAAUCCAAGUUCGUCGACUACAAGACCAGAACUAUCUAUCCAAUCACACCUAAAGACUGGGAUUGUAAACUUUUGGUAGUCAAGGUCCCAAAUUUCUUGAAUGACACCAUAGAAACCCAUAUUUGAGAGAAUUGGGUUUUUAUCCUUGGCACUAGCAACUUGCAUGGUAUGUGCAAGUAAAUAAACUCCACUAUUUUGAGUUGUCCGCACAUCAUCUUGUGCCUUGAUAUUGAAUUUAAUACCUUUAAUAAGAUAGCUCCUAUAUAAUGGCACUGACAUGUUUGGACCAGCUGCUAGCCACCUUAAAUUUUCUGAUACGCCAUGAUUGUCUUCCUCAAGUUCACUUUGAACCUGCAAAUUAAUCAUAUCUUAAUUCAAUCUAACAUAUAAAUAAGAAGAAAAUUAAAAGAGAAAUAUGUUAUUCAACAAUAUAUACCUUGAAGCGUAGCCAUUGAAUGAAAGUGCUAUUGUGCUUAUCCUGCAGCCACUUUGUUCUCUUUCUAAAUUUUGGAUAAGCAGUCUUGAUGUGAAUCAUAUGUUGCCUACAUGACACGAAAAAUUCAAGCAUUACGGUCCUAAAUAUAGAAGAUAAACAUAAGAAAUAAUUUCAAAUGGAAACUUAAAGAAUAAAGCUCAUACGUACUCGAUAUAAGGUAGGACUUCCUCCGUAUUCUCCAAGACAUAUAGAUGUGUUUGAUUCAACAGGUCCUGAUCAACUACGCUCACUGUGCAACCUGAUAAUGGCUUUGAAAGUCCCAUCUUUUGGCUUGAAGGCACUCCAACUGUACUAACAUCAGAUAAAUGCUGAGUACAACACUCUACCGCUUCUUCAGCUAUAUACCGCUCAGCAAUGCAACCUUCGGGACGAGUACGAUUCUGAACAUACCCCUUCAGCACUUUCAUAUAUCUUUCAAACGGAUACAUCCACCUAAAAUAUACUGGCCCACAUAGACGAACUUCUCUGACAAGAUGUACUACUAGAUGAACCAUGAUAUCAAAGAAUGAAGGGGGAAAGUACUUCUCAAGCAAACACAGAGUAACUACUACAUCUUCUUCCAACUUAUCUAGCUUGGAAACAUCAACAGUCUUUGCACAUAUAGCAUUGAAGAAGAAGCACAAACGAGUUAUUGCAUACCUUGUAGGCUUCUCCAAAACAGAACGAAUUGCCACAGGGAGCAAUUGUUGCAUUAAGGUAUGACAAUCAUGUGAUUUAAGGCCAAGAAGUCUUGAAUCUUGUAAAGAUACAAGAUUUUUAAUAUUUGAAGAAUAACCUUCAGGGACCUUCAUACCAUAGAAAGAAUUGCAAACCUCUCUCUUCUCUGCUCUUGACAAAUUCCAAGGCCCAGGAGGCAAACGAGUACGUCUUUCUCCAUACUCGGGUUGCAAAUCAGUUUUGACCCCCAUGUUCAAUAAAUCUAAUCGAGCAGCAAUCCCAUCUUUAUUUUUUCCAGGGAUCUCCAGCAAUGUACCAAUGAUACUAUCGCAAACAUUCUUCUCAAUGUGCAUAACAUCUAGGGCAUGCCUCACAGGAAGGUAUUUCCAAUACUCGAGAUCAAAGAAUAUUGAUUUCUUCUUCCAACAAACUCUGUCACCAUUUUCAACCAUAUGCAGCACUUCUUCUCCGGUUAAUGGCUCGGGAGGUAUGCCAUAUUCAGGUUUCCCAUUAAAAGCUGCACGUUGCCUCCUAUAUGGAUGAUUGAUUGGUAACCAUUUUCUAUGCCCAAUGUAACAAAUUUUGUGGCCAUUUUUCAACCUGUGACUAGGUGUAUCAUCGCCGCAUAUUGGACAAGCUUUAUAUCCUUUAACAACACAACCAGAUAAGUUUCCAUAGGCGGGGAAAUCAUUAAUUGUCCACAUUAAUGCAGCUCUGAGUGUAAAGUAUUCUCCAUUAUGUGCAUCAUACACUCCUCUAAUCCCAACCCACAAGGAUUUUAAAUCAUCAAUCAAAGGCUCCAAGUAGACGUCUAUAUCAUUUCCGGGUUGUUUAGGACCGGAAAUCAAUAAGGUUAACAUCAUGAACUUUCGUUUCAUGCACAGCCAUGGAGGGAGAUUAUAUGUAACUAAGAUAACCGGCCAACAACUAUAUCUGCUACUUAGAGAACUGUGGGGAUUGAAUCCAUCAGAUGAAAGAGCCAAUCUCAAGUUUCUCGGCGCAUUACCAAACUCAGGCCAUUUAUCAUCAAGAAGUUUCCAAGACGGGGAAUCCGCCGGAUGAGACAUCUGACCGUCAAUUGAUUUUCUAGCAGCAUGCCACCAAGUCAAACUCUUAGCUGUCUCAUGUGAUUGAAACAUCCUUUUAAACCUUGGAAUUGGGGGAAAAUACCAUACCACCUUCGCUGGCACACCCUCUUUCAAGAUUGAAUCUUUGCCUUCCUUCCACCUUGAGAUACCACAAGUAGGACAAUUAGUUGAAUCCUCAUACUCCUUCCUAUACAAGAUGCAAUCAUUGGGGCAUGCGUGCAUUUUCUCAUAACUCAGCCCCAAUGCACACAAAGUCUUUUUAGCCUCAUACAUGGAGGUUGGUAUUGUAUUUCCUUCUGGAAGCAAAUCGCCUUGAAGUAUCAAUAAUUCUGUAAAACAGACAUCACUCAUCCCAUGUUUUGCCUUCAAAUUAUACAACUUCACUAAUGCCGAUAACUUCGUGUACUUUCUACAACCAGGGUACACUGGUUGAUCUCCAUCCCCAAUCACAUUGGCAAACUCAUACGGAUCCGAACCAAAAUCACCAAAAUCAUUAUCAUCCAUAUCAAUUUCUUCAGACACAAAACUGUACCUACUAUGGCCAUCAUCUUCUUCAACAUUUCUACUAGCAUUAGUAGUUGCUUCCCAAGGUUCUCCGUGAAAUGUCCAAUUCUUAUAGCUUUGGUCAAUUCCAUUAAAGUAUAAGUGAUCCCUUAUAAUUCCAACCCCAAACAACUUCAAAUUAACACAUUUAACACAUGGACAACGGAUAUGUGUUGUAGUUAGAAGAUUUUCUACAGCAAAGUUCAAAAAUGCUUCCACCCCAAAUUCAUAUGCCUUCGAUCUUCUAUCCGAGUGCAUCCAUGACUUAUCCAUCUCCGACACUAUAACCUAUUAUCUAUAAUAAAGUGAAAAUACAGGCAAUGACCAUCACUAUAGCAGAUUAUACAAUGAUCUAAUCGCAAGUAAUACACAACAGAGACGACGGGUUUUAAACAAAAACAGACGUAUUUGGCAUAUAUAGACGACGGAUUUUCAACAGACGUCGUCUAUUAUAAGUAAUACAAACGACGGUUUAUGAAAAAACCGUCGUGUAUAAGUAAUACAACGACGGUAGUUUAAAAAAACCGUCGUGUAAUCGUCGUCGUAUGCCUUAAAAUUCGUCGUGUCUCAGUUUAUUUUCAAGAACACAAAACCCAUUAAGAACACAACAUAUAUAUGAAACCAAGCAAGAAACCAACAUAUACAUGAAACCAAGCAUGAAAACAAUAAAUCCAUUCCCAAUUCAACAUAACAUAGGGUGAUUAAAAGAUACGACAAAAUUAAAUCCAUUCCCAAUUCAACAUAACAGAUAAUGUAAUCCAUGAACCCAUUAAACAGAAAAUCCAUGAACCCAUUAAACAGAAAAUCCAUGAACCCAUACCUAUAAGCACAUUAUUAACAGAUCGCAAAGCAUACACAUAAAACCCUUUAACAAAACAACCUAAUAUCAUUCAAUGAAUUUACAAGGGGAAGAUAGGGUUUGUACUUACAGGUUGGACGAGCUCACAGAUUCGACGGAGCCUGGAGAGUGCAACUUUUAAUUAGAGCAGAAGUGAGAGAGCGAAAUGUUAUGUCGCGCGAAAUCUGAAAAUUUUAGGUUUCAGGGUUCGAUCAUUCAAUGAAUUUACAAGGGGAAGAUAGGGUUUGUACUUACAGGUUGGACGAGCUCACAGAUUCGACGGAGCCUGGAGAGUGCAACUUUUAAUUAGAGCAGAAGUGAGAGAGCGAAAUGUUAUGUCGCGCGAAAUCUGAAAAUUUUAGGUUUCAGGGUUCGAAGUAUAAGAAUAAGAGCCAAAUCUAAAAAAAUUUAGGUCGCGCGAAAAUUUUUAGAGUUCGCGCGUUUUAAAACGUCGAAAGAAAAACCAAGGCGAAAGUUCUACACGUAUCGACGUAAAUUUAAUAUUCCACGACGGAAAGUUCAUUUUUCGGAUUAAGAACGUAAGGCCGUUCAUUUUGAAGCUUCAUUUUUCGGAUUAAUUUUAAAUUUAUUUUGAAUUUUUUAUAUAACGACAACUGAAAAACCACGUCGGUGUUAAGAAAUUAAAGACGUUGUAAAUUAUAUAAACCGACUUACAUAUUAAAAUGACGUCGUUUAAAGCGUAAACCAUGUCGUAUGUUUUUCUGUACGACGUAAAAUAUGUAUUCCACGACGCAACCACCGUCGUUAAAAAUUAAUACCCUAAACCCAUAAAACUAAAUUAUACAAUUUAAAAAAUUAAGUUUAUAAAAGGUUUUAUGGUUUUAAAGCCUAACAUAUACCCUAGACUACCCAAAAAUUAUACUUUAAAAAUAAACCCCAAUAAAUAACAACCCUAAUCUCUAAACCCUAGACUCUAAACCCUAAACCAUAAAACUAGAAGUGAUUUUAUGACUCAUCAAAACAAUUUUGUUUUGGAUGGUCAUUUUAAAUUUUUGUUAUUCAAAAUGAAUUUUUUCAAGGUUUAUGUGGAAGAAAAUAUAUCAAUGACUUCAUAGGAGUUGACUUUUCAAUUUUCUGAUUUAUUUUAAAUUUAUUUUGAAUAUUUUGAUAUAAAAAUAAUAAAAUAUUCUUACCACAACAACAAACCACGUCGGUGUUAAUAAAUUGUAGACGUUGUAAAUUGUAAUAGACUACUAAGUCGUUAAAAUGACGUCGUUAAAAUGAGAAACCAUGGCGGCUAUUUAACUAUACGACGUAAAAUAUAUAUAUCAACGACUUAACCGUUGUCGUUACAUAAACGUCGUCGAUGAUACCCUGAACCCUUAAGAAAUUGAAGAUGUUGUAAACCAUAAACGACUCAAUUGUUCAAAGAACGUCGUCUAACUAUAUUUUUACGUCGUAUUUGUUUAAAACACGAAACAACAAAAUACGACGGUUUGUGACUUUAUUAGGUCGUUGGAAAAGUAUUACACGUCGGUUACGCAAUUUGUAUGUUUGUUUUUUUUUAAUUUAAGAAAACCUCAACAAAUUUUUACAUUACAUAUUAUAGAGAAAAUUUGUACAUUAUACAUAAAUAUCAAGUGUUCAAUAAUUGCCCUGUUUAAUAAUUUGGAAAACAAACUCUGCCCAUUCAUUCCGGACUUCAUCAAUGGCUUCUUGGGGGUAUGAAGCUUCCUGGUUUCCCUUGGCAUACUGCAUAAACAAUGACUAUUAGGGUUUAUAAAUAAAAAGAAAUUCAAUCACAGACGACGAUAUUUUUCAUAACCGACGUAGUAUAUCCAUUCAACGACGUUAAUUUUACAUGACCGUCGUUGAUAAUACAAAAAACGACGUGAAAUGUAUGAAGGUAAUUUCUUCUUACCUUAUUCUCAAACCCCAAGGAAGGAUCCAUGAUGAUGUCCCUCAUGAAGCGCAUCACAUAAUACCCGCAUUCGACAUUGCUGGGUUGCUUUGGUGUGCCUGAGAGAGUUUUCCAAAUUACAUUUUUACGUCCUGCUCGGCCUAUGUGGGUAUUAUAUAUUUUUAAAGCACUGUUCACGAUGUUUUUCGCCUCUUCGUCGACCACACGAUGACCUGGCAGAGGAUCCAGAAAAUAGACGGUCUCCUUCUUUGCUCUUACAAUCAGCAAGAUCCAAUGACGGCUGCACAAAAUUAAUAUAAAAACGACGGUUAUUUACAAAAACGACGUAUUAUAGUAUUUCACACGACGAAAUAAAGUAGAUAACGACGACAUUAUAUAUUUAUCACGACGACAAAUAAAUACUGACGUGGUUAGUAGUUUCAAACGACUAAAUAAAAUAAAACACCGACGUGGUUAGUUUAUAAGCUGUCAUUUAUUGAAAAUCAUAAAAACAAAAUCCUAAGGAGACUAACCCUGGAUUGUAAGGCAUCAUGAAAAGCUGUUCACCGUCUGUCUUCUGAAGUCGAGCUGCUACCAGUCGUGAUCUUUCAGUUAUUGUGCCAGAGUUGACACUAACUGUAGCAGGGUCAAUAAAGCCAACCAUGCUGCACAUAUUGGCUUUUUUCAAAACAUCGUGUAAGUACCUAAAUACAUAAAAUAAUAUAAACAAGUCAGCAAAAACAAACACGACGGUUAUGUAUAAAAAAACGACGUAUUAUAAUAUUUCACACGACGUACUGAAAUAGAUAAGGACGUUAUAAUAUAUUUAUCACGACGGUAGUUAGUUAAGACGACGUGGUUAGUUAAACCAACGAGUUAUUAUCUUAGAAGUACAAACCUCAUAUAUACAGCCAAUACAGUAGCUCCAAUUUCUUCCAUGCCUGCAAAUUGUGUAAUAUCUUCAGGCAGGAGGAAGGUAUCGCGCUCACCACCAAACACCUCCUUAUCAAUUGUAAAUUGGAGUGUCUUAUCCUCAGGCAGGAGUGUCGUUUCCACAAAACGACAAAGGGUUUUUAAAGAAGAUGGCGCCUCCAUAUUUGAAUAAGCACCAACUUCAAUAACCUGUUUAAAGAAAUAAAAAAAAUGACGUGGUAAUUCAAUAAAGACGACGGUUUUAGUAAUAAAACGUCGUCUUAAAAGUAUUUAAACGACGGUGAAAAAAUUGUCGUGGUAAUUCAAUAAAGACGACGGUUUUAUGAAUAAAGCGUCGUCUGAAACCAUUUAAACGACGGUGCAAAAACCGUCGUUUAAAUAUUUUAUUACGUCUUAAAAAAAGUCCGCCGUCUAAGUUUUAAACAAACGACGGAUUAAAUAAAAAUAUCGACGUCUGAAAUUUUGAAAAACAAAUAAAAAAGGCAAAGUUAUGUGAACAUACCUUGUCGUCAUGCUUUUCUUCAUCUUCUUUCUCCUUUUCUUCUUCCUUCUCUUCAUCUCUUUUUUCUUCUUCCUUCUCUUCAUCUGGCUGAUGUUUCCCCAUUUUGGCAGUAUCAUCCUCCAAAUGUAGGGAUCUCACAUCACCUCCAGAGCAGCUAGCUUUGUCAGACAUUGGAUUUUUGGGGCUUUGGCUAAUUCUUGGUUUAAGCAUGCUUGGAUCAAAAUUGGGAAUUAAUUGGGAAAGCUGACUCAGGAAAUGCUCCCUCUCAGCCUCUACCAAUUGUUUUGUCCUAGCCUCCAUCCUUAAGGCCUCUUCCCUUGCCUUAGCCUCCAUCUUUUUAGUCUCUUCUUGAAGGAGAACUCUUAAACUGUCCUUCAAACGGUCGUCAAAGCUCACCCUCUGUGGUUUGGGCAAAUUGAAAUAUUGCCUUGGGGAAACACCAGCACCAACUCCCCUCAGUCUGCCUGGAUGCUCGGGGCCCAAAGCCAUGGUCAGCACAUCAUUGCUGCCAUCUACUCUGACUUUGCCUUCCGAGACUUGUUUCUGCAAUUCAUCCUAAAAAAAGAUAAACAAAAAACACACGACGGUUAUUUAUGUACAAACGACGUAUUAUAUAAUUUCACACGACGCAAUAACGUAUAAACCGACGUUAUUAUAACUUAUCACGACGGUAGUUAUACCGACGUGGUUAUUUAUUUAAAACGACGAAAUGAAUAAACAACCGACGUCUUAUGCUAUAAUUAAAGAUAACAGAGUAGUGAUUCCUAUUUAGACCGUUAACGACGUUUUUAAAAAAGUUUCGACGUGGUAAUAUCAUUCACACGACGCGAAAAUGAACCACCGACGUCUUAUGCUAUAAUUACAGAAAAUAUAGUAGUGAUUCCUAUUUAGACCUUUAACGACGUUUUUAAAAACUUUUCGACGUGGUAAUAUCAUUCACACGACGAAAAAUAUAACAUACGACGUAAUAAGAAUAAUUCACAGUUUAAUAAAAAUUUAAAACAGAGUGAUAGUAGGCUUACAAUUAAUUUUGCUUUCUCUGCCACCUUUGGAUCAGGGAUGUUACCAUGUUUGUCCUGUCUAGCUCUCUUCCAUAAGGUAGAUCGAUCAAUUUCUACCCCAGGCAUGGUUUCCUCCAAUUGAUCCUCCAAUCCAGCAUAUCCUUUUCGAGACAAUCGAUGAUUGUACUCGAGUUUCUCCCUAAUCUGUGCAUGUUGAGAAUGCACAGACUCAAAAUCUUUGGAUAGCCUUGAAGCUACAAAGGCAUCCCAUUGUGCUUUCUCUAUGAAUUUAUAUGUUUCAGGGGGUUGGCUUAAUUUCUCCCUGUCAUUGGUGUAUGGAAGGAUAUAAUGCCUCGUUAGAGUAGACUUGAAAUCCUUCCAUUUCUUGGAAGCAGAAGCUAAAACAGAGGUCUUGCCCCCUUGGCCUACGACAAAAGCCAUGUCAACUGCUUCCCAAAUCUGCUCCUUUAUAUCCUUGGGGAUUUGGGACCAUUUCUUGUCCACAAGUGGGAUCCUGGAGCGUGCCAACACACCAAUAUACGACUGCAUCUCAAUAUGUGCUUGGCCAACACCUUUCCCCCUUUUAUUGUACUCAACAAUUAGCCUCAGUUUCUGAAGCUUUCUCUUCACAACACGAGGCAUUGUGCUCAUACCUCGACCAGUCUUUGAAUCAUCUGAGAUUGUUGUCUGGCUGGUUUGUUCUGUCUCAGCAGAUGAUGAAGCAAACUUCAUCUUCUUCGAAGACUUCAUCUCCUUCGAAGACUUGUCUUGAGGAGCUACCAUUCCAAGCUUCUUGGAGCCAGAAUCCUUAGUUUGUUGUUGAGAAACCAUUUUAACAGACAAAACUGCAAGUGAAAAUAUUUCAGGAAAACAUUAAGAACACAAACGACGGUAUUAAAAAAAUACGACGUAUGAUAUGAUUUUAGACGACGCAAUGAAAUAAUCUCAGACGUAAUAAAUGUUUAAAACCAUUAUUUAUAUAACGUCGUGGUAUAUAUGUUCACACGACGUCAAUAGUAAUACACCGUCGUGGUAAACUAUUAUUUAUAUAACGUCGUGGUAUUUAUGUUCAUACGACGUCAAUAGUAAUACACCGUCGUGGUAUUAACAUUCACACGACGUAAAACAAUAAGAUAUUUUGUCGUCUAUAUUAGAUACCAACCCUAGUUUCUUUUUCUUUAUAUUUUAUCAAAUAAGGGAAAAACAAAAACCAUUGUUCAGCGAAAUCAAACCUGCAAUUAAACAAGCAUAUAAAAAAUACUAUUAUUUUAAAAACAACUUUGUCAAUUUUCAGACGACGCUAGAACAACUGACGAACCGUCGUGGUCUACCGUCGUCUUAUUUAGUUGAUGUAGUUGUCUUCAAAGUUGGAAACUUUCUCUCUUUGUCUAUAUAUUUUAUCAAACUUGAAAAGAAGUAAAAUGAUUUUAGCCAGAAAAAAGGUAAAAAGAUUUUUCAAACAAAAAACGUAUGAGCAUGCAAAACAGUAACCAAAAUAGUGAAAAUGAAAGCUUACCUUUUGCGUGCAAUGAAAGCAAGAGGAAGAUGAUCGAUGUUUAAGUUCAGAGACGACGAAGAAGACGAGAGGAAGACGAUGAGAAACUCUGACAAUGCUCUGACAAGGAAAAAAGACGAAAAGGUUUCUCUGGGAGAUUGAAAUUUUUAAUCGGGUUUGGAAACAGUGCAUGUGUAAGUCGAAAAGUUGCUUACAUAUAAAACCAUUUCAAAAAAAUAAUACGGCGGUUACAUUUAACUACGUCGUUUUUAACUAAAACGACGCAAUAUUUUUCAUUCGACGUGGAAUCAUUUCAUUUAACGUCGUUAGGUUUAAUAUAACCGACGUGGAUUUUAAUUUUUAAAUUAUGAAUAGAAUUUUUUUUCCCGUGACCUUUCAGUUUAUUUUUCAAUUACAGUGCGUUAUAAAUAGAGUUUUUUUUCCGGAGGAAAUUUAAAACGAAGGAAAUUAAUAUUCUGCAAUAUGUAAAGUUUCUUUUUUGGAUGACAGAUUUAAAUAAAAUAAGAAUAUAAAAACAACAAAUGUGUAAGUCAAGUAGACGAAAAGUUGCUUACAUAUAAAACCAUUUCAAAAAAAUAAUACGGCGGUUACAUAUAACUACGACGUAUAAAUUACAAAAUACGACGGUACAUUUAACUUCGGACGUGGUAAAUAAAUACGACAGUAGUUUGUAGGUACCGUCGUAGUAAACUCAAAAAUUAAAGUACAUAAGUAAUAACUCGCGUCAUGGUAUAUUAUUUAACACGUCGUUUGUAUUAAUUUACCGACGUGGAUUUCUGUAAUAUACGUCGAUAAUACCGACGUUGAUUUUACAAUUUAAACGGCGGUUUUUUUGUAAGGACCGCCGUUGGUUUUAAAAAUUUAUUCUAUAAAUUUGUCGCUUUCAUUCAUUUUCGGUUUACAUUUAAGGUUCCAAGUUCUUCCUCUCUCAGUCUCUCAUGUCUCAAAGACAAUAAUUUGGAUGUUUUCUCAAAGAGAAAUUGAGCUUACUCGCAUCAAAUAUAUGUCCACAAGAAGAAGCUUGUCAACUAGCCUUCUCACUUCCUUGAUCAAGCCUGAUAGGACACUUAGUGCUUCUGAAUACUCCUUGCUUUCCAUCAAAAGAGAUGCAAGCCUGGGCCUCCACUCGCUGUCGAAGGAAAGUUCGCUUCUCAGGGAAAUCUGAAGAUCAGAUGUGCCUGAUCCUCUGCUUGAUUUUCUUGNNNNNNNNNNNNNNNNNNNNNNNNNNNNNNNNNNNNNNNNNNNNNNNNNNNNNNNNNNNNNNNNNNNNNNNNNNNNNNNNNNNNNNNNNNNNNNNNNNNNNNNNNNNNNNNNNNNNNUAAAGCAUGAGCAAUUGAAUCAGUAGUUUCUGGGAGAUAUGAUGAAGACAUUGUCAAUGCUUGAACUACACAAGUCUGCAGAAAGAUAUGUUAAAGAAACUGAAACAACGGCGGUUUUCUGUUCUACCGUCGUCUUUCUCGUCGUCUAUAUUAAGUUAAGAUGGCGGUAGAUUUAUAAUUACCGACGUAGAUUAUUUUGUAAAACGUCGUUAAGUGUACUACAACCGACGUGGAUUUUAAUUUUAAAUUAUAAAUAGAGUUUUUUUUCCCGUAUUCUUUCAGUUUUAGUUUUCAAUUCCAAAGCGUGAUAAAUAGAUUUUUCUUCCCCGAGGAAAUUUAAAAUGAGGGAAAUUAAUGUUCUAGAAUUUGUAAACUAACACGACGCAAUAUUUGCAAAUCUGUGUCAUCUGUUAAGAUUAUGAUGUGGAACAGAGUUCCAUCUGGUAAGAUUUCGUAACCCUUGGGAUCUCAGACAAAACUGAUUAUGUCGACGGUGUUCUAUAUAAACCGUCGUGGUUAUUUCAAUUCUUGUCAUUAAGUAGAUCUACCGACGUAGGAUAAGAAAAUCAAAGAAAAAAAUUGUUAACAAAAAUUCUUAUUAAGACGACCGUUAAAAUUAAAGGUACGACGUAUAAAAUGAAUAAAUACGACGAUAAAUUUUAUUGUACGAUUUAAAGAUAACGUCGUAGAACUAUACGAGAAUGACGUCGAUAUAUUUAUAUUUUCCGUCGUUGUAAAUUAAUUUAAUAUGGCGAUAUUUUGUAUUUUAAAGCCGUGGAUUUGUUUGUAAUUAUACGGCGUCUUAUACGAAAACCUCGUCGUGUUAUUUUAUGAGUAAAAACGGCAGUUUUUAUUGAAAUCGUCGUCUUUACUUUCUACGUCGGUCGAUUCAUAACUUCUGCCGUUCUUUGUUGGCAUUGAUUUUACACUGCGGAAAUCUGUUUCAAAUAGACGUCGGUUGUUUAAUUAUGUACGUUGUUGUUUUUGAACAGCCAUUUGAAACUCCAUUUUUUAGUUGUCUAAGGUUGUAUUACACGACGGUGUUUUUAGAACCGUCGUCUUUUUAUAAACCACGACGGUUUUCACUUAGACCGUCGUUGUUUUCUGGUCGUCUUUUUCACUUUUUGUAGUAGUGUUCCCCCUCCUGUAUUGUCUCCCUCUCUUUUCAUUAGCUCGUUUAUGGAGUAAUUAUAACAGAUUUUUGCGGAUCUAUCCUCUUUUGGUUAUCAACUCUAUUUGCUAAAGAGGAGAGUCGAUUGGUGCGGAUUUGUUAUCAUUUGGUGCUUGCGAAUAGUAGGUUGGCUUUGUGACAACGAGGUUGCACUCCGGCUAGUUUAGUUUCUUUAUCUUUGGAAUAAGUCGCAUAAACUCUCUUAGGAUUUUCUGUGUAGUUUUAACCUCUCCAUUGUGAGUGUUUUUCACCUCUUUUUUGCGAGAGCUUUUUGAUUAUUAUGAGUUUACAAUCUUAGUUGAAUGCCUAUGCCAAAGUUUCUUCGGUCAUGUGUGAUCGUUAGUGGAGGUGCACCAAAUUGUCUUCAUCUUAAUGUUAUAUUUCUUUGGAAUUGUAAUGGCCCUUUGUGACUAAUUUGUAUUGGCCUUUUGUUGCCAGUAAACUUUUUAGUUGAAUUAUGAAUGAAAUUCAAUAUCUGAAGAAAAAAAUUAUAUAAAGUGAGAAGAUACCAAAGAGACACGUUGACACAUAUAUCGUGAGGAUCCCGAGCCUCUGCAUUUGGAGUCCACGAAAUUCCCACAUUUCGCUUCAUCUAGGCUGUUAUAAUGAUCCAACGUAUGGUUUCAUACAUGACAUAUUAGCAACAUAAUACAAUUUAGUUUAUAUUUUUAAUUUUUUUAUGAUUCUAUAGUGACGUUACAUUGUCGUUUCCUUCCAUCAUCCCUCUUAUCCCUCUCCUCUUCGUUUCUCUUCUCUCUUUUUUUGGGUGUCAACUAGCAAUCUCUUAUAGAAAGUAAGGGAGCAAGUUGGAUUGGAAAUUCUAAUUCGAAAAUUUCUAAUUUUGGCAAGUCCAUAUCAAUUCUGACCUCCGAAAUUUCCAAAAUCUGAAAAUUCUGAAGAUUUUUUUUUUUUUUUUUUUUUUUUGAAUUUGGAAUGUAUCACAAGAUUCCAAAAGCUUCCAAAUUUUAAAAUAUAUUAGGGUUUCAUGCUUAGAUUACAUAUAUAUAAGACUAAUUUUAUGUUGAACUAGAUAUGGCUUAAUGACCAAAUAGACAUUGUCGAGUAAUUUCUGAAAGGAUAACAACAUCUAAGUAAUAACAUAUAAUACUUUUUCAAGCUUUUCGUAUGAUUUUUCAAUUUUGAGCCAAUUUUAACCUUUUAAAUCAUUGGACAUGUUUAAAAUGUUCAACUAUUUUCCGAAAUUUUUUGACAAUUCCGAGUUUUCCGAAUUAGAAUAGAUGUUGAAAUUCCUAAAAAAUUUUGGAACAGAAUUAGGAAGGAAUUUUCGCCCUAAAUUUUUUUAGAAUGAUAGUAGGGUUCCAUAAUUCCGAUCCAUUUCGUCCGAAAACCAACCCUAAUAGAAAGCAAAAGCAAGGGUGGCAAAGCCAAAGCCAGGUGUUAAAUUUAAAAAAAUGUAAUAAAGUAAUUAAAAAUUCACCCAACAUAAUCUCACUCUUAUUUACAAAUAAGAGUUUUUUUUUGUAUUUAAUUGAGCAUGACCCAUUCAAGAUGAAAAUAUCUCUUAAUUAUAAUCUCUUUGGAAAGAGGACACCCUUUGAUUCCAAUAUGAAGAUUGAAAUAAAUAAUGGAAUUUGAUUUGAUGUUAUGGCUGUAUCCAGGGAACCCUAGACUGCCUACAUACCUCCUUUUGGGAAUCAAACUUUUUGUAGUUCUCAUGAAUAUAUAUUUUUAACAAGGGCUUUCAAAGAGUGGAUGACCCCUUGAAAGAAUUUUGUGGUGUGAAAAAUAUUUUAUGGAAUUUGAAUGAAUGUGGUUGGACCGAGGAUUCAAUUUGAUUUUAUGGUUGAAAAAGUGUUUGGGGCGAAUUUGGUUAAGGUAAACUAGGGAUUCUGUUUGUACUUGUGAUUGUAUCUAGACUGAAUUUCCAAAUUACCUACGUAUCCUUGGCGGAAUCAAUUCAAACAUAGUUCCUUAUGUUUUAAUUAAUCCAAUUUUACUUAUGAAUAUACAAUCUACUAGUAAUUUAGGGAAACUCCUUCGGAAUAAGUUGUAAACUUGGAGUUUGGACCGGGCAUGAGAUUUUUGUUAUUGGGCCAGUACCCAUGAAUUUGACUCAUAUAAUUUAUUUGGGCUUAGCACAUUCCUCAACCACCUUCUUCAAAUGAGAGCACAUCCACCAAACAUCUUCAAGGGAAUGCUUCAUCUCCUUUUGUUGUCCAAAACAAAGAAACCUUGUAGACUGUGUACUCUUAAAUUGGAAUGGAUGAGACUGAACUGCAUAAUUUGGGUAAAAUUGAAAGAUGGUUCAAAUCCUCUUUGCUAGCGCUUCCCUUGGCUUUAAAAUUCCUUCUAAGUGCGAAGUUUCAUCAUUGCUUUGCCUUGAAGAAUUCUGACUGGCGUCUUCACCAUUUUGCUGAGCUCUUACUUGUGUAUUGUUCUGUUGCCCAAUAUAGAAAAAAGAACUUGGGUUGAGGAAGAAAAUAGAGCAAAUAGGCAAGAAAAGAUAAGAAGGACCCGUAGGUCUAUUUUGUAUUGCUGGCUGAUUAUAUAAUUUCAUGGUCGUUGACUAAUACCAUGAUAUUUACAGUAGGUAAUUGAUGCUAAGCUAAAAUAAAGGCAUACAAAUUGUAUGUGAAUAAGGUAGAAUAAGUAAUUGAGCAAUCAGUUGUGAUUUGGUAAUAAUUGGGGAAUUGACUUCCCAGAAUCACGCCCAUCAUGACAUGAAUCAUGGCUGGUCGUGUGGGCAUGUGCUAGGUGUACGGGGGUGUUCUCUUCAUUCCCCCUUAAGCGAAACAGCACGAAGUAGAGAUUGAGCUUGGAAGCAAGAGAAUGAAAUCGUUCCCUAGUGAGAUUCUUGGUAAAGAUGUCGGCCAACUGAUUGUGGGAAGAAAUAUAUUGGGUGUGCAGAACACCACGUGGGAGUAGCUCACGUACAAAGUGAUAAUCAAUCUCAAUGUAACAAGUUCGAGCAUGGAAGAUGGAAUUGGCUGCCAUGUGGAGAGCGGAAAUAUUGUCCACAAGGAGAGACAGAGAGGAGAGCGAAGUGGGAUCUUGGUGGCAAAAGCCCUGUAUUCGGCUUCAGUAUUAGAACGGGAGACAGUGGAUUGUUUCUUUGAGGUCUAGGUGAGUAGAAUGGGGCCAACAAAAAUACAAGCGCCAUUGUAGAUCGACGAUCAUCAACAGACCCGACCCAGUCAGCAUUGGCAUAACCACGUAGUAGAUAAUCACAAGUCUUGUGAAAUUUAAUACCGUGCUCAAGAGUUCCUUUAAUGUAGUGAUAAAUAUGCUUCACGGCCUGAAGGUGAGUGGUGCGUGGAUUAUGCAUAAAUUGACAUACUUGGUUUACUGCAAAAGUGAUUUCUGGUCGAGAUAGCAUAAGGUACUGAAGGCCACCAACCACACUUCGAUAAGUGGUUGCAUCUGGCAAUGGGUCACAAUCUAAGGAUGAAAGAUGGGUGGCUGAAGCCAUAUGAGUGGGACUAGGCUUACAAGACUCCAUGUUUCAUUUUUUAAGAAGGUCAACAACAUAUCUUAUUUGAGACAAGUAGAUGGUCUCAGAGGUAUGAUGAAUUUCCAUGCCAAGAAAGAAGCUCAGAUUACCCAUGCGGCGACUAUCAAACAUGGUGAAAGGACCCGCCCCGAAUUUUCUCAAAACCCGAGACGAACUCUUUGAAAUUUCUGACAUCACCCCGAUGCCAGGCCCACUUACUAAAAACCGAGACUUCCUGCCGAAAUUUCGGCAGAGUCUCCCCUAUAAAUUGGACAUUUCCCAAAAUUUAUACCUGCAUGAAAACGCAUUUAAUAUUCCCAACUGGCAGCAUGCACAAUAUAAUUUCAUGCAAUUCACACAAACGGCCUUCGGCCUUCCAAUAAUUCUCAAGAAAACUACCAAACAUGCUAACAAAGUAAUUCAUGCCUUAAACAAGGCAAACAAUUCAAAUCUAAAUUACGACUAACAUUUAGUCUGCGGCUACACCUAAUAACCUUAGGCUGCCUACGUACCCUCCUUGAGGGAUCAAGCCACACGUAGUUCUUCCCUAAAACCCAGUUCCACACUUAGGCGAUACCUUAUUUCAUUUCCCUGUAUUUCACAUAUCCUCCCCAUACGCCGGUACAACCAACGCCACGUAUGGGGCCUGUCAACACGCCGGAUAACCUACGCCACGUGCGACCAUGCCAUACUAUCAUAAUAUCUCCCCAUACGCCGGUACAACCAACGCCACGUAUGGGGCCUGUCUCAACGCCGGAUAACCUACGCCACGUGAGACCUGCACAUCAUAUCACAUAAUUCCCCCUACGCCGGUACAACCAACGCCACGUAUGGGGCCUGUCCCAACGCCGGAUAACCUACGCCACGCGGGACCUCAACAUCAUGUCACAAAUCUCCCCAUACGCCGGUACAACCAACGCCACGUAUGGGGUCUGUCGACACGCCUGAUAACCUACGCCACGUGCGACCUCAACACAAUAUCACAUAGCUCCCCAUACGCCGGUACAACCAACGCCACGUAUGGGACCUGUCUGCACGCCGGAUAACCUACGCCACAUGGGACCUCACUUUCACUUGGUGGUACUUGUAGUACAUCCAACAUCCGAGGAGGUACCUAAUGUAGUGCGUAUAGCACUCCAAACUAACACUCUAGACUCUGUUGUACCCUUGUUCAACCAUAUAUAAUUAUAGUUAUAUAAAUUAAUUCUAAUAUUGUGUAACCCUCCACAAUCAUCUAGCACCCGAUAAUCCCCCCUAAAAAGGUGAGAUUACUCUGGGAGGCUCACGGUCAACCAAGGGUCAAACUACUCUAACCCUGGUCAAACGGACCUGCGGAACCCACGACCUCCAAUUUUCGAUCCGGAAGUCCCUAUGGGUUCUACCAGGUAUAGGACACUUGUCCUGCGAGUUUGGUUCAGAUCAGACAGUCGGAUUUCUUACGAUCGCAUGAUCUGACGGUUAAUAUAAAAUAUAAACUUUAAAUUAUUAUUCGGAACAUCCGGGGCUCCGAUUCAUGAUCCGUGAAUUCCUACACGAUCCUAGAAAUUCCUAGAUUAACAUAUAUUAAAUUUGGGACCAUCCAACGGUCCCAACCUAUCGAACCCGGAUAACGCACAAUAUGCGAUUAUCCGUUCGAUAGUCAAACGACGUCCGAAUUGAGAUCCGCAAAAUCCUACGCACUCGUGACAACCUAAGGAUCUCAUCAGAACACAUCGCUACUUUUUCUACAGUGCCCACGCGCCGGCGCACGCGCCGGCAGCGCGUGGGUGCCCAAAGCGAUAACGCUUCGCCGGUAAAUCUCAAAACCACGGCUCCAAACCCCUACCCUAGGUAUAACACCCUGUUUGGAGCCACUUUUGUUCUUGGACCUACCCCAAAACGUGGCCGGAAAUGGCCAAUCACGGCGGCCGAAGUUUCGGCCGAUUUUCAAUUCGAAAAUCAAGUGAUCUAGAGAUCGAAUCGAUCAAAACCCAACCAACAGGCAGCUAGAACAGCUCGAGAGGUUCAAGAUCCAUACCUGGGUCGACGGAAAUGGUGGCCGGAGGAGGGAGAUCGACGGCGUUGAAGUUUCGAUGACCUCCCGGCGGUUUUCUGCAUUUUCCGGCCAGCACAGGCCGCGUCACCGGCGGGGAACGGUCGGGGAAGGAAGGAGGGACGACGGCGGUUCGAACGCCACCGGUCCCGUGGCCCGGUGGUGCACUGUGGCAGCGCCGACGCCUCUGGAAGGCGACUGCAGCGAAACGGGAGAGAGAGAGAGAGAGAGUCGCGAGAGACAGAGAGAGAGAGAGAGAGAGAGAGANNNNNNNNNNNNNNNNNNNNNNNNNNNNNNNNNNNNNNNNNNNNNNNNNNNNNNNNNNNNNNNNNNNNNNNNNNNNNNNNNNNNNNNNNNNNNNNNNNNNGGUAGUACCGGCGUAUGGGGAGAUUAUGUGAAAUACAGAAACAUGAAAUAAGGUAUUGCAUAUGUGUGGAAUUAGGUUUUAAGGAAGAACUACGUGUGGCUUGAUCUCUCAGGGAGGGUACGUAGGCAGCCUAAGGUUAUUAGGUGCAGCCGUGGACAUAGAUGUGAUUGUGUUAGAAGGUUAAAACCUUGUAUGUUGAAAUUGAAAAAGUUAGAUGAUGUAUGUUGAAAUUUAGUAGUCAUAAUUUAUAUUUGAAUUUAUCGUUUGCCUUGUUUAAGGCAUGAAUUGAUUUGCUAGCAUGCUUGGUAGUUGAGAAUUAUUGGAAGGCCGAAGACCGUUUAUGUGAAUUGCAUGAAAUUAUAUUGUGCAUGCUGCCAGUUGUGGAUAUUAAAUGUGUUUUUAUGUAGGUUGUAAUUUUGGAAAAUGUUCAAUUUACAAGAGAGACUCUACCGAAAUUUCGGUAAAAAGUUUCAUACCCUUGUUCCAUUUUGGGAAAAAGGGUAUAACUUUAGAAGUGGGCCUGACAUCGGGGUGAUGUCAGGAAUUUUCACAGGAUUCGCCUCGGGUUUUGGAAAAUUCCGGGCGGAUCCUUUCACAACGUGCUAUUUAGAAUCUCUUUUAAGGAUGCAGAUUUGAUCCCAUAAGGUACGGAGAUAUGUCUUGGACAGUGGAGAAUGCCUUGUCCAAGCAAAUCCUAGGCUUCGUGAGUCGUCGUACAUGGGAUGAGGAGAGUUUUGAUGGUUGAGGAUGUCGUAGCUUUAAUCCAACUCAGGACUAACUUGUCCUUUGAGUACGCUGGAUUUGGUGUUCCAUCAGUAAGAUUCUUCUGGGGACGGGUCUCAUAUGGGAUGACAUCUUCUAGAUCAUGAAGUUCUAGAACGUCAAUGAAUUGAGAUCUCCAAGACGGAUAAUUAUUCUUGUCCAUAGGUGUGGUGAAAAGAUGAGAGAUGUUGAAAGAAGUUGGGAUUGGAAACAUGUUGUCUUUUGAGGUUGUAUCUGUGGUUGAUUUGUUGGGAUGAGAAUUGACAGAGGAGGAGAGAGGAGAAUGUUGAGUGUUGGUCAUAGGUGAGGAUCGGUUUGAGCGCUAGCUACUGCCAGGCUCUGAUACCAUAUAGAAAAAGGAACUUGGGUUGAGGAAGAAGAUAGAGCAAAUAGGCAAGAAAAGAUAAGAAGGACCCGCAGGUCUAUUCUGUAUUGCUGGCUGAUUAUAUAAUUACAUGGUCGUUGACUAAUACCAUGAUAUUUACAGUAGGUAAUUGAUGCUAAGCUAAAAUAAAGGCAUACAAAUGGUAUGCGAAUAAGGUAGAAUAAGUAAUUUAGCAAUCAGCUGUGAUUUGGUAAUAAUUGGGGAAUUGACUUCCCAGAAUCACGCCCAUCAUGACAUGAAUCAUGGCUGGUCGUGUAGGCAUGUGCUAGCUGUACGGUGGUGUUCUUUUCACCCAAGAAUAUUGGUGGCCUGGAGGCCAAACUUUUACUCUCUCAGCAUCAUUUAUGCAAACAACGGGUAAGCUCUUCUUGUCUUUGCUUCACUCUCUUGUUUUUUUCUUAGACUUUGCUUUCUGACCAAUUUUCACCAUCUUUCAUAAUUUGUGAAAACCAACAGAACAAAAUGCCUUCUAAAUUGUAAAGCUUGAUUUUGAUAUUUAUUUAAUUGUUGAAUUCCCUUUAUAGGAAAUUAAUUUGAAGUAGUGGGUUUCUUUGCCUAACACAACAUGUACAAACCAAAGAGCUAUCUGUGUACUUCUUCGAGUUUGACAAUACCAACUUCAUAGCUGAAACUUCUCCUUUUUUUAAUCUCAAAGUUCAACCACAAAUUUGGGUUUUGUCCAUUGUGUACAUGCUUGACCCUUUUUGCUAUUUGUUGUUUUCUAUGUAUUUGUGGUAGUCUUCUACAAAAUGGGUUUUGUCUUUACCCAAUUGUAUGUGCUUAGAGACCUUCAGAUAAUUAAAACCAUCCUCAUCAUUGGUUUUGUGUUGACUUAACAGGAAGGCUUGCUUUGUGCAACUAGUUUAUUCACUUUCGGUCUAAAGACCAAAUUUUGGUUUGAAGAAGAGUCACUGGCAGCAAGUUGUGCAUCCAUUUUAAUUUUGGCAAGUCUUUUUUUUUUUUUUUUCUUGUUCGAAUUUUGUAGCAACGACCUAAUGCUUUGGUGCAUUCUUUUCUUUCUGAUUUUGAAAGGAAUUUCUAAGGCUUUGUAACAUAAUUUGAAAGGGCUAUCAUACCGCCAAUUAAGGUGAUGCCUUUGUUUUGUCUCAUUUUCCUCAUGUCUUGCCAGCAACAAAUUGAGAACCUUUUAUGAUAUUUGCAAUUUGCUGUGGAGAAGUGUUGUCUUAGUAACCUGCGUGUGCAAUCUGGCUUGGAUUUUUCUUUGUUGGCAACUUUUGGAGCACGAGACGUGGAUGUGAGUCCUCUUUGUUCAAUAGUUAUCAGCUUUUGUAAAUUUUCUGGCAAUCAGCAAUACCUACCACUACUACAUUUUACACUUUGGGCGACGAAGAACAAAACGUCGCGCAAAGUCUCAUUUAGUCGCCCCAAUUUCAGCGCGACAAAAAAGUCGUCGCGCAUAUUCGGUCGCGCGAAGAUCGUGAAGAAAGCCUUUGCGCGACGAGGCACAACCCUUCGUCGCGCAAAAGUGUGCGACGGGUAAACCAUCGUUGCACCAACGGUGUGGAGACGAAACAACUGUUCGUCGCAAAAGUAUUUGCGCGACGAAAUAUUAUUCGUCGCGCAAAAUAUGUUCGCGAAACGUAUAUGUUCGUCGCAGAACAAUUCGCGCGAUGAGAAAGUUUUCGUCGCACAUAUAAUUGCGCGACGAACAAUUAUGUCGUCGCGCCAAAUGUUUUGCGCGACGAAGCAUUUCGUCGCGCAAAACGUGUUUGCGAGACAUAUGUGUUCGUUGCGCAUGAAUUAAAAGCGAUUAAAAAAAUUUGAUUUUUUAUUUUUUUUUGUUACAUGAUGGUUUGCGCGACGAAAUAUUUUCCGUCGCGCAAAAAUAAUAUUACAAUUUUUUUUUAUAUUUUUUUUAAAUAAAAUUGGUUUCUUUUUAUUAAUUAAACAAUGAAAUUGCAAUAAAAAUAAAUUAGAAUAAAAUUUUGUUAUAAAAUAAAAUAAAUGUAUUACAAAUAAAAUAAAUGCACUAAUCAAAUAAUGAAUCAAAAUCAACCGAGUCGUCGCCAGUAUGCGGCUCGGAGGGCGGGUCGUUCCCCGGGGCAGUGGUCUGGUGGGGAUGCCCGGGAUGGACGGGCUCAGAGGUCGGCGCAUCAAAAUACGGGACUGGAAUGCCGGACUGUGCGAGGGACUGCAGAAUGACCGACAUCUGGCUCUGAAGAGUGGCCACCUGUGCUGUCAAAGCAGUGACCUGACUGUUUGACUGCGCCGAUGAACGAGGUCGAGGUUCCCUCCGCCGGGCAUUCCCCAUCCCUCGACAAUAUGUCCCCGGCCUCCUCCCGAGACUCUGAUCCAACGUCUCCGUCAAGAUCUGAAAUUCAGCAUCCUGUGGAGGAGCCACAGACUCGAUCGGAGUCUCGGGAGGAAGCUGGGAGGCGGACUCCUGAAGAACAAGCUGGCUCCUCUCCACCAUCGUCGUCUGUUGAACAUAACAUAAAAUAUAAAUUAAAACAUGCAUAUAAAUUGAAUGCGUAACAUAAGAAUUAAAAUUAAAUAAUACUUACAUGAAGGGACUCGGCCAACUCAUUCCCGGGUCGAACAUAAACGUCACCAAAGACGUCGAUCUCUGGGAACUUGGACCCCUCCUAAAUUGAACAAGAGAAGAAAAAUAUUAGUAUGAAAAAAAUAAAUUAAUAAAAAUGACAUUAAAAAUGAAAUAAAAAUUUUGUGAUUAUUACCCGACGCCGUGCAUCCAUCAUAUACGAAAAGGGUCUGGAGCCGGAAUGGUGGAGAAGGGUCUUCUUCUUCCUAUUACCCUUAUUCACUUGGGCUUUAUUCUGUUAUACAAAAAAUGAAACGUAUUAGUUAAAAUAUAAAAAAUUAAAUAAUAAUGAAAUAAAAAAAUAAAAUAAACAUUAAUAAGUAAUAAGUAAUAAUUAAACAAAUAUAAUUAAAAAAAUACCACAUAUUCGGGCGCUUGAAAAUGAGCGCAGAGCCACUCCCAACUAUCCUCCCGCCCCUCAAGCUCCUUCAGGCAACCCUCUUGAAGAGCGACUUGCGGAUCAUCAUAGGCCUGAAAAUGGUGGUGCAAGUCGCUCUUCCACUGCUUGUACCUCUCAGCGAAGAGUCUGUUGACGUACGUCAACGACUCUUCGUCGAGAUCCUCCAAGUUAUAGUUCGUCUGCAAUCAAUUAAUUAGAUACGUUAAGUAAUAGAAAUAUACACAAUUUUAAAGAAAAAUAAUGAAAAUGUAAGGUACAUACCGACAACUGGCCGCGAACCUCCGCCUGGAUCUCGUCAGGCAUGACCCUCCAAGACUUCCAUUGCAUCGGGCAAUGGGUCCACACGACGUGGCCAAUGUCGUGGGCCAAGGAGCUAUGCAACUCCGCCGUCGGUGCAGCCCGAUGGCGCUCGUCGUAUCCAAUGCUGAUACGACUGUUGGUCACCCGGGUGACCUUCGCCGUCUUCAGCUGACGACACGGUCCUCGGGUGUUCCUCUUCGCUGCAAAGAAAUAAGGUAUUAAUGUUAAAUAAAAAAACAUUGUCAAAUUUCAAUAUAAAAUUAACAAUACAAAAGUGUAGUUAUACCUGGCUGUGAUCCCGAGGCACCAGUACCGUCGGUCGAUGUCGUGUCGAUGGUGUCGGUGGGCCGGUGCCGCCGCCUAGCACUAGCUGGCUGCGCCACGGAUGACGCAGAUGACACAGGCGCCUGGGGCGCCCCGGGACCAACCACCACGUGGUCCAACAAAGCAGGAGCAGUGGCAGCAGAUGCCGACUGAGUCGGGGGAUCCGAACUCGGUGCAGUCGUCAUCGACCUACCACGUCUAAUCAAGUCUGACAUCUGCACAUACAAUUUCAUUCAGAAUUUAAACUAAUUAAUUAAAAGCAUAGCCUGACCUAGGGUUUGGAAUUUCGGAGUAUCCGGGACUCCGAUCAACGAUCGGUCGAAUCCUAAACGAUCCUAGAAACACAAAGGUACAACUACGUGAGUUUCAGUUCGAUCCAACGGUUCGAACAUAUCAAACCUGGAAAUCGCACAAUAGGCGAAAUCCGAUCAAGACUCAAACGGCAACCAAAUUCAAAUCCGAGCAAACCUACGCGCUCGUGACAAACAGGGGAUUGCUCUGGGACCUAAUGCCCCACUGCCACAGUAUCCCACCUGCCACCACACGCGCCGGCAGUGCGUGGGUGUCCAAAGCGAUAAAAUUCGCCGUUAAAUUCUAAAAACUAAGGGCCAAGGUUCCUACCCUAGGUUGAAAACAUUAAUUGGAGCCACUUUUGUUCUCGGACCGACCCCGAAAAAUAGCCGGAAGUGGCCGGAUUUGACAUUCUCAAACCGGCCAAAACCUAGGUUUUAAUUCGUAUUUCCUACGGCAAAAAUUCAUUAAAUCCUAACCAACCAUCAGCUAGAGCACAAAAAAUAGUCGAGAAAGCAUACCUCAUGCGUCGGAAAUGGUGGCCGGAGGAGAGAGAAAUCGGCGGCGAAGAUUCGGGAAAAACCGACGAAACGCGACGGCAGGGAGGAGGCGACGGCAGGGAGGCGGCUGAGGUGACGGCAGGGAGGUGGCUGCGGUACGAACGGAGAGAGAGGGCGGAGGCGACAGCGGAGAGAGAAGGGAGGAAAACCAGAAAUGGAGAAGAAGGAGGCUCGGGUCGUUUCUGCAGAUUUAUUCGAAUUUGCGCGACGAACAAUAAAUCCGUCGCGCAAAAUUGCAUUAAUGAAUCUUGCGCGACGGAAAUAUCGUCGCGCAAAAUCGCAUUAAUGAAUCUUGCGCGACGGAAACAACUAUCUUCGUCGCGCAAAACACAUUCUGGCCGCCAAAAUUUUGGGAUUUAGGGUUUAGCGGGAGGCUGAAACUGAAGGGUCUGUGCCUUUUGCGCGACGAAGCAAGCAAGCGUCGCGCAAUAUAAUCAUUGCGCGACGCAAAUGUUUCUGUUCGUCGCGCAAAACACUUUCUGGCCGCCAAAAUUUUGAGAUUUAGGGUUUAGCGGGAGGCUGAAACUGAAGGGUCUGUGCCUUUUGCGCGACGAAGUAAGUACGCGUCACGCAAUAUUUGUCGCGCAAAAUGGCAUUAAUGAACCAUGCGCGACGGAAGCACCCGUGUUCAUCGCGCAAAACACCUCUGGCCGCCAAAAUUUUGGGGUUUAGGGUUGGGCUGAAUCUGAAGGGUCUUUGCCUUUUGCGCGACGAAGUAACUACGCGUCGCGCAAUAUCUGUCGCGCAAAAUGGCAUUAAUGAACCUUGCCCGACGGAAGUACGCUGUUUGUCGCGCAAAACACCUCUGGCCGCCAAAAUUUUGGGGUUUAGGGUUUGGCUGAAACUGAAGGGUCUUUGCCUUUUGCGCGACGAAAUCAUGUAAUUCGUCGCGCGAGUUCGAGAUUGUGAUUCAGUUGAAGUUUUCGUUAAGUGUUCAAAGGGUCGAGGGAUUGCGCGACGUUUUUAUUCUGUUCGUCGCGCUAGUUCAGAAUUUCAUUCGGUUGAAAUUUUCACUAAGUGUUCAAAGGGGAUGGAGGGGUGAACUGUGUGUCCCAGAUUGCGCGACGAAUGUGAAAAUAUCCGUCGUGCAAUCUUUAUGACUUUCACUUUGCGCGACGAAAGGAAAGUUAUUCGUCGCGCAAAACCUAAACCCUAAAAUGUAAACCCUAAGCCGUAAGCCCUAAGCCCUAAACUCUAAACCCUAAAAUAGUUUCAAUGAUCCAACCGGCAAACUUAUUUUUUUAUACUUGGAGAUCGUAUACGCCAAAAAUCAAAACGACCAAACAUUCAGAUAUCAGAAAACGGGACAAAAUAUUUCGACGGUUAUAAAUGAAAAGUCAUGAUUUAACGGUUAUUUUAAUUCCGAUUUUGAUCAUUUUUUAAAGCAACAUUUGUUGACCCUAUAUGAAUACAAUGACUGAAUUUGAUCUUCAAUUUCAGAUUUUUACACUAGGGGAUACCACAUAAACGUUAAGUUACAUUUUGACAAAUGUAUGAACAAAUUUUUUAGUUUUUGGUGAAUAGACGAUUUUGAUAGCACACGCAGUCUACGAAACUAGUUUCACCCAUCCAGCCGUCAAACUUGUUUUUUUUAUAAUUCGAGAUCAUAGACAGCAAAAUUCGACCCAAAAAAACAUUCAAAGAUUAAGUAACGGGGUAAAACUUUUCGACGGUUCUAAAUAAAAAGUGAUGAUUGAACAGUUAUUUGAACUCCGAUGUUGAUGAUUUUUUGCACCAACAGUCCUACACUCCAUAUGAAUACAAUGAAAUACUUCGAUCGCCAAUUUGAAAUAUAUAUGUGUGUAUAUAUUAUACUAUAACGUAACCUAAUAUAUAUUUGCGCGACGAAGUUCUUCUUAUCGUCGCGCAAAAAACCCAUACGCGACGCAUUCAUGUUCGUCGCGAAAACUAUUGCGACGAGGUUGGUUCGUCGCGCAAAAUUUACGCGACGCAUUUUUUUGCGUCGCGUAUGGUAUUUUUGCGCGACGAUAAUGUGUCUUCGUCGCGCAAGGAUUUGGCGCCAUAACUCCUCCUUUAAUUCAAAUUGUGUAUGCUUUGUAUUUUUGGGAAUGGUUUUGUAUUCAUCAUUUUUUAUGCUUUGUAUUUUUUGGGAAGGCUUUGUAUUUCUUCAUCAAAACCAAACUAAAUUGAUAAUUAAGAUUUGAAUCGUGAAGAAUUUAUCGGUUUGACUAGAUUGAUGCCACUAAUCAUGAACCAAAGUGAAGAAAAAUAAGUGGCACACAGCUAAUAUUGGAGAAAUAACUUAAAUUUUCUGUUUAAACAUGAAGAAAUAACUAUAUCUCAAAAGAAAAAAAUAAUAAUUGAAGAGGCCUUAAGGCAUGAAUAAAUAAAUAAAUAAAUAAAAACCAAUCAACAAGCAUGGGGUCGUAAUAAGUACUGACUAAAGUAUUGACAUUCCAAUGAAGUUUGUGAUGAAAUAUGGAGAAUGAAUACACAACUACAUAUGGACAACUACAUAUAUUCAAAGAUUUGUAUUACACAAAAUGAAUACACUAACAUAAUAAAUUUACAAAUAAAUUCAUUAUUCAUCAUCUGAACUAUAAUAACUUUCGUUAUCGUCGCUAUCAUCACUCUCGGUCUCCCAAUCUUCUUCCUCCUCCUCCUCUAUAACUGCAUCAUUGGCGUUGCUAGGGCCAACUGCAACAUCGUAUCGGGGAAGAUCACCGAGGUCAAUUGUAAUUGACUGAAUCGGUAUUUCGACUGAAGCCACUCCUUCUAUUUGAAACGGUUCUUGUAUAACAUUUGUAUCUCGAAGUGUUUCCGCAUCAUUUUCCAUUGAAGAUUAUAAACGUUGGUCAGCCACAUUGUCAACGUCGUUGUCACUUGGGUCUAGUUCUGGUAUAUCAUACACGUUCCUAUGAUCCAUCUUCUGCACAACUUUCCACCCGUUCCCGGCUUUAGGGUCAUCUAGAUACACAAUUUGGGACGCCAUGUUUGCCAAAAUGUACGGGUCGUCAUCAUACCAAGUUCUGUUAAUGUUCACAGACAGUACUCCAUGGUCGAUUUUAACACUUCCCGCCCUAUUUGGGUUGGUAUCGAACCAUCGACACUUAAACAUGAUGACUUGGUAUCGAUCUUUGUAAAGCAAUUGCACGACAGUUGUCAGUUUGCCAUAGAAAUCAAUGUCCGUACUUACGCCUCCACCUGGGACAUGGACACCGCUGUUUUGCGUACACAACUUGUCAUCUCGUGCGGCCCCCAAAAAUUUGACGCCGUUAACAUUACAACCCGAGAACAAUUCAGCGCGAAUUGGGCCGAACGCCAAGUUAUAUAACUCAUCACUGUAAGUGGGGGAAUUCGAUGAUUUCAAUUUAUUCACCUAAUAGUAUACAAAACCAAUUACAUGUUAGUCUGACAAAAUUAAAUACUACAAUUUAUAUUUGUCAAUGAGAAAACACUUAUAACUUACAGAAUCCAAAAACCAUUGUGGAAAUAAUUCACGGUGUUUCCGGGCAACCAAAUGUGAUGGAUGUUCUCGCUUCAUCAUCUGUUCAUGCUCAUCUAAGUAGGCCAUUAUCUUAUCACAAUUGUUUAGUACGAACCAAUGCGCUACCUCCAUGUCAUUUCUAGAAAACGACUCUCCUCGUCCAGGAUCUCCAAAUGGUCGUGCGCUUUGGGCAAAAACAGAAAGUUUUUCAUUUCUCAUACCUCCGUCAUUAUUGCGUUGAGGACGAUUGAAAACCGUCUCCACAUCUUUUAAAUACAUUCCACAGAAAGUAAGCGACUCAUAUUGAACCCAAGCCUCUAUAAUUGAUCCUUCGGGCUUUGCCCUGUUGCGUACACUUUUUUUCAGCUCUCCGAGAAGCCUGCCAAAAUAAAACGAUAUGAUACAAAUUAGCAAACUGUCGAUAAUGAUGCAUACACAAAUGAUAAAGAUUAUAUACCUUUCUAUUGGAUACAUCCAUCGAUAGUUGACAGGACCAGCAAGCAAUGCCUCUUCUGGCAAGUGAACCAUCACGUGCAUCAUACUUGUAAAGAAAGCUGGAGGAAAUAUCAUCUCAAACUUGCAUAGGAAUUGGACAAUGUCAUGGCGCAACUGAAACAUGUCUGUCCUUCGCAAUGUUUUUGCCGUCAGUUGGGAAAAAAAUCUGGAUAACAACAUGAUUGGCUUCACCACAUCUUCCGGCAGUAGGUGUCGAAUACCCACAGGAAGUAGGCGUUGCAGGAACACAUGGCAGUCAUGGCUCUUAAGUCCAGUAAAUUUACCCCCAUCGACAUUCACGCAACGUGCGAUAUUAGAAGCAUACCCAUCGAAAAAUUUGACAGACGAUACAAACUUUAGAAACUCCUUUUUGUCAUUCGGUUUCAUAGAAAAGAAUGCAAGAUCCCUUCUAGCUUUAUCACUGUCCCUAUUCAUCCAUAAACCCCUUCGUAUGCCCAUUCUUUCCAAAUCAAGACGAGCUUUGAUCGUGUCCUUCGUCUUCCCCUCGAUAUCUAGAAUCGUGCCCACCAAUGUGUCGAAUACAUUUUUCUCAACAUGCAUCACAUCUAGAUUGUGCCUCAAUUUCAGCUUCGACCAAUAUGGGAGCUCAAAAAACAUAGGCUUGUGCGUCCAGUUCAAAUGUGUAGAAGGUCUGGUCCGACUGACUGUUUUCCCGAAUGGAGCAAAAUCCAAACGGUUCAGCUGUUCCAAGAUCUCAUCACCGGACCAUUCUCUAGGUCUGAGGCGACGCUUUGUGUUCCCGUCGAACUCUUUAUCUUUUUCUCGCCACUCGUGGUCCCAUGGCAACCAUCUCCGAUGACCAAGGUAACAAACUUUUCCCGCGUGCCAACCAGAAGUUACAUCUUCCUUGCAUACAGGACAUGCCAUAUAACCCUUUGUGCUCCACCCAGAAACCAUUGCAUAUGCUGGAAAAUCAUUCACAGUCCACAUAACUGCUGCUCGCAAAGUGAACAUCCUCCCAGUUGAUUUAUCGUACGUGCGAACACCGUUUGUCCAUAAAUCCUUCAGCUCAUCAACCAGAGGCCUUAAGUACACAUCAAUUGACCUGCCAGGAUCCUCAGUUAUCAUAACAGUCAUCAUUAUGUAUUCUUUUUUCAUGCAUUUCCAAGGCGGCAAAUUAUAUGGGAAUGCGAAAAUCGGCCAAGUGCUGUGGUGUUGGUUUAAAACCCCAUACGGAUUGAAUCCGUCAGUGGCAAGUCCCAAUCUUACAUUUCGGGGAUCAGCAGCAAACUCGGGGAACGUUCGAUCGAACUCUUUCCAUGCCUCCCCAUCUGCAGGAUGCCGCAUCACAUCAUCGUCUACCCGUUUUUCCUUAUGCCAUCUCAUGUCUGUGGCAGUAUGCGUCGACAUAUACAAUCGCUGCAACCUAGGUUUAAGGGGCAGAUAACGCAUGACUUUUUGUGGUAUCUUAGUCGUUCUAUUCUGGGAUGUCAUUUUGAACCUCGACUCAUUGCAUAUAGGGCAUGUAUCCAACGUUUCAUGCUCUUUGUAGAAUAACAUGCAAUUGUUUUUGCAAGCGUGGAUUUUUUCAUAACCCAAUCCAAGACCGUGCAACACCUUCUGUGCAUGUUUAUGGUCUUUCGGCAAACAAUUGUCCGUCGGAAGCAUUCUCUUGAAAACCCCCAAAAAGUAAUCGAAACACAAGUUCGACAUACGAUACUUUAUUUUUCCGUGCAUUAGCUCCACAAUGGCAGUGAGAACGGAAAAGCUCUCGCACCCCGGGUAUAACUCUUAGUUGGCAUUUUUUAACAGUUUUUCAUACUGUUCAAACUCCGCACUGUCUAUUGGUGUAGGCACGUCAUCUUCCCCUUCCUGAUUGAUGUUGGUCGAUGCGAAUGGAAAAGCAUCAUGUAUAAUACCCAUGACUUGAUCAUUAGGAUCCACAAUAGGUUCAACAUUGUCCACUCUUGGGGCAUUUGAAGACGAAGCAUGCUCUACUUGUUCGCUGUGAAGGUUCCAAAUGCUAUAUGUUUCAAUCAUUCCAUUCCUUACUAAAUGAAAUCCAACAUUUUCAAUUGUCUCCCACAACGUGUUGUUACACCUCCUACAAGGACAACGGAUUCUAGUUGCACCCGGGUUGUGUCUACGUGCAAACUCAAUAAAAUCCUCGAUUCCAUCCAAGUAUUCGUCUACGCAUCUAUUCGGGUUCUGUAUCCACCUUCUGUCCAUAAUUCCUGAAACCACAAUCACGACACAACAAUCACAACAACUUCAUACGAAGUUAUAAUGUCACAUUAUGCCUCCGGUAAGGGCCCUAUCCCAUUCGGGAAUGCAUAGUCCUGUCACGUCACCUACGGCUACAUGAGAUUAGAUUUCGACGUGGAUUAAUUUCGGCAGCAUCUCGACACAGUUCUUGAAGUGGGCAUAGGUAUAAAUACCUACGUACCACCCGAAGAACGUACCGAGAUGACACCGAAAUCUCCACAAUCGAAACCUAAUCCUGUAGCCGAAGAUUAUGUGACAACACUAUGCAUUACCAAACUGUCCAAAUAAUGAGACAAUUCAAGAAUUAAUUGGACCGCAGUCAUGCAUUACGCAUCCAUGCACGAAAUCCAACUAAUCUCGAACGGGAAACUACGUGUUACUAAACAUAAAAAUAAAAGUACGAAGUUAAUUUCAAUUAACUUCGUACAUCACAACACAUUGUGCUAUGUCACGCACAAUUUCACAAUAUUAUACACAUAUAACUUCACAAAAAAAUUACAAACAUAACAAACAAACUUUUACAAUAACAUACCUUCUCAAUCGUUCUCCACCAAUCACCAAUCACAAAUAUCCCUAACGAUAACAAAAUUAAUAGCGUUACUACGAAUUUACAUUAAUACAUUUAAACUAACGACAAAAAAUACAUACCCAAUGAACGUACUGAAUUCACAGCAGAGCAACGGCAGGGAGAGUGAGAGAGAGGCAAAAUACAGUGGGUGAGAGAGAGGCAGAAUGCAGAAACUGCAUUCUGCCUCUACAAUGGCAGAUACUAAAAUGAAGAAGAAGGACUUUGCGCGACGAACAACCCAGUCCGUCGCGCAAAAUGCCGUCGCGAAAACCCACUUUUCCGUCGCACAAAAAAACAUUUCCGUCGCUCAAUUACCUGCCGACAUCAGGUUUUUUGCGCGACGAAUAAAAUUAUCCGUCGCACAAACAUCCGUCGCGCAAAUAACAUUAUUCGUCGCGCAAGGUUUAGAUUACGUCGCGCAAAUAACAUUUAUUUCGUCGCGCAAGAUAGCACGGCAUUACACUUUACGCGACGAAGCUAAUUCCGUCGCGCAAAAAAAGUUUUCCCACCCUGCAUUUUGCCGCCAAAAUUAAGUAACCCUCGUUUUCUUACGCGACGGUACAUAUUUCCGUCGCGCUAAGGCGUCUUUUGCGAAGAAAAAGUUCGUCGCGCAAAGUUUUUUACAACAAAAAAAAUUAGACAAUUUUCUGUCCAUCUUUACGCGACGAAACAUUUAGAUUGUUGCGCAAUAUUGUCAUGCGCGACGAUUGUUGUCGUUGCGCAAGAUUAUGGCGCGAAAAAAAAAAACCGGGGUUUUUUCCCCGACCUUUGCGCGACGAAAUUAGUGUUGGUCGCGCAUAGAUUGUUUGCGCGAUGAAGAUUUUUCGUCGCGCUAGUGUUCUGCUGUUUGCGCUCCGGUAUUUUUUUUUCGUCGCAAUAGUGAUUUUUGCGCGACGAAAAUAUGUUCGUCGCGCAAAUAGUAAAUCGUAGUAGUGUACAUACCUUUUUAAUAUUUUCUUUUAUAUUUUCUCCUGUUUAUGCAUAUGAGUGACUCUAAAACAGAGUUGUUGAUUUUCUCCCUUUGCAGCAUGUUUUGCCAUCUCUUCUUUCUCCAAUUUGCAGAUCUGGAAUUUUGUUGUGCUGAAGGUGGGUUGGGCAUGUAACAAAGCAUUUGGGAUUUUGCCAUUUUCUAUUUUUUGUACUCAAGAACAUUCGCAAGGUCUUCGCUGAAUACCACAACGUGCCUAUGGACACUCGCAAGGUGUUCACGGCACUUAGUAAAGUGGGGUUCUUACGAAAGCUCAUCUGUAAUUCACAGCAGAGAGGUCCUUGCGGGAGCUCUCUUUGUGUAAGCAGCACAGUUACCAUCAUUUUGAAAAGAUUUGUUUACAUCUUCCAUUGCCAAGGCUUAUGUACACUUUCUUUUACACUCUUUCUUUAGCCUGCAAGUUAGUUGUACAUAAGAGAAUGCUCAAAUUAAUGAAUCAUUUUAUACCUUCCCCAAUGGUAUUUGUGACAGAGCUUCAUAUCUCCUUUGCUUGCUUCUCUUUCUUUCCUUUUUUUUUUUCUUCUUUGGAUUUCUGUAGCAGUUUGGUGCUUCUCCUCCUUUGCGUUUUUGCCUUUGUUUUUUUUUUUUUCUGCUCACCAAUGAUCCCUUUUUAUAGACCAAGAGAAACUGAAGGGAGUGGAGCCAGUUAUAUGGGCUCACGUACUGUGUGGGUACUGUAUGUGGAAGUAACUUUCCAUUUUCAGUCAGCCCUCAAUUCCACACUCCACAGUCACGUACAAGAAGCAUAUUCUGUUUUCUUGUAAAAAUAUUAAUAUUAAUUUAUUUUGGGCCUAAACCAAUUUAGCAAUAAGCGCUCAAGACCAUUUUAGCUAUGAGCCCAACUUCUUUAAAUUUGGGCCAUAAUUUAAUUUGAUGUCAAUGAAUUUUUUUAUUUCAACACCAGGUACAUAACCUUAUACCUACAAAAGUGCCAAGAACACCAACUAGAACCCAAGGACAGGUCUAGAAACAACAGAGCUCAGCACAGAAAAGGUAAAAACAACAAAAUACAAUAACCGAAGCCAUGAGACCCCUACCUCCUAAACCUCUCCUCUUUUUCUCUGUAUCUUGUGUCUCCCAAAUCCCAAUUCCCACAUCCCCUCAAGUGUUCAAAAUUCAAAUAAAAUUAUAUCUAAAUCAAAAUCGAAAUAUAACGUUUAUUCUCAUCGUCAAUCGACUAAGUCUCUAGGAACAUGCAAAAGUUAUUUUAGGCAGCCUUCAAUGUAUUUGCAACGUCGAUGACAAAUCGAUAUCUAACAUCAGCUUUGAGAAGACGUUCCAUGGCGGUAUUUAAAUAAUCAAUUGGGAUAACUUCAAUGUCAGAUGUUAUGUUGUGUUCGGCUGCAAAGUCGAUCAUCUCUUGUGUCUCCUUAAUACCUCCAAUGCAACUGCCAGCAAUUAUCUUCCUUCCUGCAAUUCCAGAAUUUAGGGUUUGUUAAAGAAUGUCAAUUUUUGUAACUGAAAAGAAAUUAUAAAAUAAUCCUUAAUCUUCGUUUUUACACAUUCACAUGCUUACCCAAGACCAAUGGAGUAAUUGGAAGCUCAAAAGGCUUCUCUGGUAGACCAACCAUAACAAGUUUCCCAUCACACUUCAACAAACCAAUUAAAGGCAACAGAGGGUGGACUGCAGAAACCGUGUCAAUGAUACCAUCCAUUGUGCCCAUGGCAGUCUACAAAAUUAACAUGACAAAAUAUUUAUUAGGAUGAUUAUAAUCAUUACCAUUAUCAAUGAAACUUGUUCAAAUAUUUACCUUCAUUUGAUCUUGUUCACGGCUGACCAAAAAGGCAUCAGCUUUGAGACUUUUAAUAGCUUCGUCCUUCUUAUUAGGGGAGGUACUGAUCACUGUAACCCUAGCCCCCAAAGCCUUGGCAAACUUGACUGCCACAUGGCCCAGACCACCAAGGCCAACCACCCCCACAUGCAUGCCGGGUUUAUCGAGUCCAUAAUGUCUCAAGGGGCUGUAAGUUGUGAUCCCGGCAUAUAGGAGAGGGGCAGCUCCAUCAAGGGGAAUGUUGUCAGGAAUACGAAUUACGAAGCCCUCCUCCGUGACCAUGAAGUCAGAGUAGCCUCCAUACGUGAUGGUUCCAUCGUGGUACUUGCCACCAUAGGUUAGUAUAUAUUUGGGGCAGUAAUUCUCAAGGUUGUGGGAACAAUUGUCACAUGAUCCGCAAGAACCCACUAUGCAUCCAACACCGACUUUGUCUCCAACCUUGAAUUUUUGUACCUUGCUCCCUACCUCUGUCACUACACCGACAAUCUCAUGCCUGCAUUGUGUCAUUUAAUUAAGUUCACAUUUAAUGUUAGUUAAUUAAACUCAUGCAAUAUUUCAGAUACUAAUUUUCUCUAUAUUAAUCAUUCGGUAUUAGACCUACCCGGGAACCAAAGGAUAUUUAGAACUUCCCCAGUCAUUCUUUGCCGUGUGAAGGUCGGUAUGGCAUAUCCCACAAUAUAAUACUUUGAAUGUCACGUCUUUUUCUCCCGAUGCCCUGCAACCAAUUAAAUCAGUUCAAUUUUAUAGAACUAAUUCAAAACAUGAGAUAAUGCAUGGAGAGGGCAAGAAGAACCCAAGAAAAGCCUAUGAUCAUACUGCAUUCUAUCCUCUUUUAGAUAUAAAUGGAAAGUUUAUUAAUUUCGUCAGGUUAUUAAGACAUGAAAAACUUAAAUCAAAUGGAUUUUAAACCUAAAAAAUAAAAAACCUAAUCUUUUUUUCUUUUUUUUUAUUUGUUCGAUUUCUUUGUCUUCCCUAAAGAAGAAACUAUUAAUGUCGAAAAUUAAUAACCUUCUUGAGAAUUUGAAGGGAGAUAAAACACCGGAUGAAUCCCUUGCAGCCCAUCCAAUGGCCUUCUUAGGGUGUUCUUCCUCUGGAGAUUUCGCCAUUUUCUUUCUUGUUAGUUAUUAUUUUCUCUCAUAGUGUAUAUUAACUUAUAUACAACUUUUUUGCGACGUGCUAGUCUUUCGGGAGUUUUUGCUCACAUAAAUCCAACUUUCUUGGCUUCUUCUUAGUCUGAAUCCAAUUUUUUGGGUGGCCAUACAACUGUCCCGGGAAAGUACACUCAACAAUAUUUGGUUUGAGCUUACCUCCGUAAUUGUGGUUGAUGAUUUAAAAGAAAUUAAACAUUUUGAUUUACAUAUAUGUUUUAAUAUAUAAAAAAAAACAUUUGACUACUUUCAAAACAAAUUUUGAUACUUUUCCGGAAUUAUUUAUACAUACAAACCAAAUAAUUAGUUAUAAUCCUCAUUCACAUGAUUAUACUCGCGCAUUUCAUCUUCUUGGGAAAGGUAUACUUAUUCGUCAUGUAUGGACUGAUCGAAAUAACAUUUCCUUGAUAAAUUGAGGUAUAAUUGAGGGAUUUCUCAAAUAAAGUCUCGUUAAAAAAAAAUUAACAAAAUUUUAUUUUUGUAUGCCCAAAAUAAAACAAUGCUACUUUUUGCGGUGCGUUUUUUUCUUUCUCUUUUUGUAUGUGAAUCAACGAGUAUAAGUUAUCAUGUCUCAGCGCAAUUAAAAAAGAAAAGAAAGACAAAGCCCAUUACAAAAAUCCAGCGAAGGUAGCAUGACCCAAAGAUUACGAAGCCCAUAAAGGGAGCAAUACAAAUACAGAAGGGUCCAAAUUCCACUUGUGCAACAGAAUAGUCAAUUUUGCGGAGUUAUCAUGUUUGUGCCUCCACAUUAAUUCUUAAAGUAUAUAGAAACCUGCAAGAGCUUAUAGCUCAACUCAAGUUGUUAAGAGUAUUUACUUUUGCAUUUGAAUUCCUAGUUUUGAUUCUUUCUUCUUUCAAUAUUGUUUGAAUAUAAAAAAUAAAAAAUAAAAGCAUAAAGAGACAUUAAAUAUAUUUAUAUUUUUAAAAUUAAAUGAUGAAGGUGAAAGUUGUGCACGUUUCCAUUUAAUUAAGAGCGAGAGGCUCAAUUGGGACCACUAGAUUGACAGGAAAGUUGUCGUUCUAAAUAGCAUGAAUGGAAUCAGACAAUAUUAGACUGCACAUAGGCUUAGAAGUAAGUCGGUCACGUAGGAUUAGAUAUCUUAUUAUUUUCACAGCACAAUAAUACCAAAUUUGUCUUUAGACUGCACAUAAGCUUCGAAGUAAGUCGUUCACAUGGAGGGAAAGUUAAUCAGAUAUCUAAUCAACGAUUAUAAAACAAGAUAAAACCAAAACGUCAUCUCAGAUGAGGUGAGGUGAACAUGCAUAUAUGUACUUGCCAUUUCAUUUAUUUAUUUAAAAUCCAUCCUGUCCUGUGUGCCAAGUUGUUCUCUAAAUUUAUAAUUUUCACAUGACAAGUCAAUAAAGAAAACAUGUAGAAGAACCAAGAAAGUAGUUGCUGGAAACUGAACUCGAACUUAAUUCAUUGACUGAUAAAAAAAAUACAAUUUAAAUAGAACUCACAAGAUCAAACUGGGCAGGAAAACAUGGAACAACAAUCCCAUGACCAACACGACUAGCAGUUACUAUUAGACUCCCAACAUAUAUAAUGGGAUGCUCUUAUAGAAUAGGUAAAACCACAGCUGACCUUCUAACAAAAUUUAAGAGCUAGACUUCAGUGUGUUUCCGAUGUCUAUAACAAAUCGGUAUCUGACAUCUGCUUUGACAAGGCGCUCCAUGGCAGUGUUCAGAUAAUCAAUCGGGAUAACCUCGAUGUCAGCUGUUAUGUUGUGUUUGGCUGCAAAGUCAAUCAUCUCUUGUGUCUCCUUCAUUCCUCCAAUGCAACUGCCGCCUACUAUCUUCCUUCCUAUAAUAUUAAUUGAAGAACAAAUUGAAAUGUUUGUUAACAACUUUAAUAUAUAGACAAUGAACCGAUUCAAAUUAAUGUACACUUCUGGAGCACUUACCCAUGAGCAAAGGAAAAGCUGGAAGCUCAAGAGGCUUCUCUGGUGCACCAACCAUCACAAGCUUUCCAUGAGACUUCAACAAACCAAUCAAAGGCAAAAGAGGGUGGACGGCAGAAACCGUGUCGAUGAUGCCAUCCAUUGUGCCUAGGGCAGCCUACAAAUCAAAUCAACAAAAGUAAAUUAACCCAAAAACAUGUGACAAUCUAACGUCAACUUAAUUGUUCAAAUAAUCACCUGCAUUUGAUCUUGGUCCCGGCUGACCAAAAAUGAAUCAGCAUGGAGAUGGUCAAUAGCUUCUUCCUUCUUAUUAGGGGAGGUGCUGAUCACUGUAACCUUAACCCCCAUAGCCUUGGCAAACUUCACGGCGACGUGCCCUAAACCGCCUAGACCAACAACACCGACAUGCAUACCAGGUUUGUCAAGUCCGAAAUAUCUCAAGGGGCUGUAAGUUGUAAUCCCGGCACAUAGGAGAGGAGCAGCUCCAUCAAGAGGUAGGCUGUCCGGAACACGAACGAUGAAGUGUUCGUCGGCCACCAUGAUAUCGGAGUAACCGCCAUAUGUGGUGGUUCCGUCGAGGUACUUGGAACCAUAGGUGAGUAUCAUUUUGGGGCAGUAAUUCUCAAGGUUGUUGGCACAACUGUCACAAGAAUGGCAAGACCCAACCAUGCAUCCAACACCUACCUUGUCUCCAACUUUGAAUUUUUCUACUUUGCUUCCUACCUCUGUCACUACGCCAACAAUUUCAUGCCUGCAUUGCCCCAAAUAAGUUCACUUAUAGGAAUGCGUUCAUUGAAAAGCUUGAGCUAAUUAACUUACGUUCACAUCACCCAUCAGUAAAUGCUCUGGUCUGACUGUAAACUUGUGAUAAUUCUAGCAAGUAUUUUUCUUAAUUUUCUUAUGGCAUGCCCUGCCUUUCAUUGCCACCAAUCAAAUAAAAGUUUUACAGAAAAAUUAAUUUGAAAACUUUAUACUAAACUAAAGUCAUAAAAAACAUAUAUUGAGAAAAAGACCCAUGCAUUUAGGACAAAUGCAACAGACAUCGUACUUAUGCGUUUCGGUUUAUUUUUUAAGGAGCUAAAUUUUGCUCUUUUUAAAUUAAAAAAUUGUUAUUAACACUUGAAUUAAAAAUCAUGGCGUAUUUCUCACUAGAAUUGAUUCGAUGCAAAUUUCAAUAGUUCCUCUACCAAUAUAUCAAAAAAGAAAAUCAACGACUAACUAAACUAAAGUCAUGUUUGAUAAAUGACAAC
rnacentral:lncRNA from 1 species